UGCAGUUCGAGCGGACAGAUGGGAGCUUGCUCCCUGAUGUUAGCGGCGGACGGGUGAGUAACACGUGGGUAACCUGCCUGUAAGACUGGGAUAACUCCGGGAAACCGGGGCUAAUACCGGAUGGUUGUUUGAACCGCAUGGUUCAGACAUAAAAGGUGGCUUCGGCUACCACUUACAGAUGGACCCGCGGCGCAUUAGCUAGUUGGUGAGGUAACGGCUCACCAAGGCGACGAUGCGUAGCCGACCUGAGAGGGUGAUCGGCCACACUGGGACUGAGACACGGCCCAGACUCCUACGGGAGGCAGCAGUAGGGAAUCUUCCGCAAUGGACGAAAGUCUGACGGAGCAACGCCGCGUGAGUGAUGAAGGUUUUCGGAUCGUAAAGCUCUGUUGUUAGGGAAGAACAAGUGCCGUUCAAAUAGGGCGGCACCUUGACGGUACCUAACCAGAAAGCCACGGCUAACUACGUGCCAGCAGCCGCGGUAAUACGUAGGUGGCAAGCGUUGUCCGGAAUUAUUGGGCGUAAAGGGCUCGCAGGCGGUUUCUUAAGUCUGAUGUGAAAGCCCCCGGCUCAACCGGGGAGGGUCAUUGGAAACUGGGGAACUUGAGUGCAGAAGAGGAGAGUGGAAUUCCACGUGUAGCGGUGAAAUGCGUAGAGAUGUGGAGGAACACCAGUGGCGAAGGCGACUCUCUGGUCUGUAACUGACGCUGAGGAGCGAAAGCGUGGGGAGCGAACAGGAUUAGAUACCCUGGUAGUCCACGCCGUAAACGAUGAGUGCUAAGUGUUAGGGGGUUUCCGCCCCUUAGUGCUGCAGCUAACGCAUUAAGCACUCCGCCUGGGGAGUACGGUCGCAAGACUGAAACUCAAAGGAAUUGACGGGGGCCCGCACAAGCGGUGGAGCAUGUGGUUUAAUUCGAAGCAACGCGAAGAACCUUACCAGGUCUUGACAUCCUCUGACAAUCCUAGAGAUAGGACGUCCCCUUCGGGGGCAGAGUGACAGGUGGUGCAUGGUUGUCGUCAGCUCGUGUCGUGAGAUGUUGGGUUAAGUCCCGCAACGAGCGCAACCCUUGAUCUUAGUUGCCAGCAUUCAGUUGGGCACUCUAAGGUGACUGCCGGUGACAAACCGGAGGAAGGUGGGGAUGACGUCAAAUCAUCAUGCCCCUUAUGACCUGGGCUACACACGUGCUACAAUGGACAGAACAAAGGGCAGCGAAACCGCGAGGUUAAGCCAAUCCCACAAAUCUGUUCUCAGUUCGGA
rnacentral:rRNA from 1 species